rnacentral:rRNA from 1 species
GAUGAACGCUGGCGGCGUGCCUAAUACAUGCGAGUCGAGCGAACGGACGAGAAGCUUGCUUCUCUGAUGUUAUCGGCGGACGGGUGAGUAACCCGUGGAUAACCUACCUAUAAGACUGGGAUAACUUCGGGAAACCGGAGCUAAUACCGGAUGAUAUUUUGAACCGCAUGGUUCAAAAGUGAAAGACGGUCUUGCUGUCACUUAUAGAUGGAUCCGCGCUGCAUUAGCUAGUUGGUAAGGUAACGGCUUACCAAGGCAACGAUGCAUAGCCGACCUGAGAGGGUGAUCGGCCACACUGGAACUGAGACACGGUCCAGACUCCUACGGGAGGCAGCAGUAGGGAAUCUUCCGCAAUGGGCGAAAGCCUGACGGAGCAACGCCGCGUGAGUGAUGAAGGUCUUCGGAUCGUAAAACUCUGUUAUUAGGGAAGAACAUAUGUGUAAGUAACUGUGCACAUCUUGACGGUACCUAAUCAGAAAGCCACGGCUAACUACGUG